UACGUAGGCAGCAAGCGUUGUUCGGAGUUACUGGGCGUAAAGAGUGCGUAGGCGGUGUCGAAAGUUUGGUGUGAAAUCUCCCGGCUCAACUGGGAGGGUGCGCCGAAAACUGGGAGGCUAGAGUACUGGAUGGGAGAGUGGAAUUCCUGGUGUAGCGGUGAAAUGCGUAGAUAUCAGGAGGAACACCUGUGGUGUAGACGGCUCUCUGGACAGUAACUGACGCUGAGACACGAAAGCGUGGGUAGCAAACAGG
rnacentral:rRNA from 1 species